AAAAUUAAUGGAAGUGCCACACUAGAAGCCCUGAUAGCUUUGGCACGCACUGAAACUCCAAACCUUACAGCAUUAUAUUAUUACUUUUCUGGAUCUGCACACCAAUAAUACAUUUUGCACCGAGGAGCCUGCUGCGACAGUUCUUUAUACACUUCCCAUACCCGGCUUUUUCCUAACCGCUUACAAAAUGACAUUAUUCACGCUUGGUUCAACUAGCUCGCCAACUCCGAAAUAUGCUGAUUACCAGAGA